GGGAAUGCAUGGAUAGCCUUGUACUCCACGCAGCACCUAUGUCCUUCAUGUGCUCCUUCGCUAUCUACAAAGUUGUGCCUGCCCGCUUUCCCUGCUCACGCCUGCUCGUCCCCGUCCGCGUCCAGACCCCAGUCAUCGUCCAGGUCCUCCGCGUUCACGCCCGCUCCGUCGCCCUCCUCGGCCUCGCCCUCGGGGUCGCCGAAGGGGUCCUCCUCCUCCUCUUCCUCCUCAGGCUCAGCGGCGGGUGCCGGCGGCUGCGGCGCGGGCGGCACGGGCGCAGGAGGCGGCGCGGGCGCGGGCUCCGGGGGCUUGGCCACCGGCGCGGGGGGCGCCGGAGGCACCACUUGCUCCUCCUCCUCCUCCUGCAGCGCAAAAGGGAAAGUCAACAUCGUCAAGCUGCACAAGAAUAGAGCAAAAGCUUCACGGCAGAUGCGCGCUGUCAACUCCUCCGUGGUCGGCAAUGGAGCGAGCCCGCGUCCUCAGCACUCACUUCUGCCAUCGCCUCGUCCUCCUGCUCCUCCUCCUCGUCCUCCUGCUCCUCGUGCACGUGGUGCGCGGGUGCCGGCGUCGGCACCGAGGCCGCUGGCGCCUCAUCCGCCUCCGCCUCCUCGCCGUCGCCUAGCCCCAGGUCGCCCAACCGCGCCAGCAGCCCGUCCAGGCCGCCCUCCAUGGUGGACGCCGCGAUGGCGGCCGCCUCCAGGUAGUUCUCCGCCGGCACCUUGCUAUCGCGACCCGCCGCUGUACAGGAACAGAAAGGCAGUGGUGAGGCAUUACAGCUGAACAUUAGCCAGAGCGGGAGGCGGGGCCCAGUUGUACAGAAAUGGCUGCCGCAUGCUCGACCCAAGUGCUCUCAAGCAGUUCGGGUCCAUAGCGCGAGCAGAUGCGCUCACCCAGUAGCUUUUCUGCGCGGAGCGCCUCGUCCAAGUGCGGGAACAGGUUGGGGUACGCCGCUGGGUCUGCCAGCGCCUCGGCAGCCUGUCGGUCAUGAAACGUGCACAGGGGCGUGCCUAAAGCAUUGGCAAGUGCAUCCUGCGCAUUUGUUCGCGUGGUCACAUAGCUGGUUGUAAAACGCUCCAGCCCGUAACCCGCCGGACACCCAUACCUUGGGGUUGAUGGCCGCCAGGUCCGCCUUCCACUUCACCAGCGCUGGCGUGAUGGCCGACGGCAUGUAGGUGCGAGCGAAGAAGGCCGCCUCCGGCAGCCUGAAGGAGCAAAGGCCCAUUAGCAGGCGUCAGCAACACUGCAUAAUAACCGUACAAUCGUGGUACCGACGAUCGCAGCAACACCCCGUCCACUACAUGCGGCCGCGCAACCGCACCUGUUGGUGUCCAGCAGCAGGUUGAGGCAGUCGUCCAGGCGGCCCAGCAGGAAGAACGCCAGGAACGCCACGUUGCUCUUGCCGCCCGCCGCCGCCGACACCGCCACCGCCGCCAUGCCGGCGCGGUCGCCGCGCGCGGAUGCCAGCAUUAGCAGGCCCGAGAAGUCGCUGGCGCGCGACAGGCAUUCCGCCGCCAGCUCCAGCUUGCCCCCCGUGAGCGCCAUCUCGCCCAGCUGCUUCCACUUGGGCGUGGAGUCCAGCGUCUGCGCGAUGCUCUGCGCCACCUCCAGGUCGCCCAGCUGCACCGCCAGGUCGAAGCGGUAGUCGGGGUCGGUGGCCACGGCCAGGGCGGUGCCCACCAUGCCCUUGGCCUCCAGGAAGCGCGCCACGGCGUUGUGCUGGUCCUUGGGGAUCUGCGGCAGCAGCUCCAUGGCACUGUCCAGCUCGCCGCGCGAGAUGCGCGCCUUGAACUCCAC
rnacentral:lncRNA from 1 species